rnacentral:rRNA from 1 species
AGAGCGAACGCUGGCGGCAGGCCUAAUACAUGCAAGUCGAACGAACCCUUCGGGGUUAGUGGCGGACGGGUGAGUAACACGUGGGAACGUGCCUUUUGGUUCGGAACAACUCAGGGAAACUUGAGCUAAUACCGAAUGUGCCCUUCGGGGGAAAGAUUUAUCGCCAUUAGAGCGGCCCGCGUCUGAUUAGCUAGUUGGUGGGGUAAAGGCCCACCAAGGCUACGAUCAGUAGCUGGUCUGAGAGGAUGGUCAGCCACACUGGGACUGAGACACGGCCCAGACUCCUACGGGAGGCAGCAGUAGGGAAUCUUGCGCAAUGGGCGAAAGCCUGACGCAGCCAUGCCGCGUGAAUGAUGAAGGUCUUAGGAUUGUAAACUUCUUUUAUUUGGGAAGAAACCCACGAUUUCUAUUGUGGUUGACGGUACCAGAUGAAUAAGCACCGGCUAACUCCGUGCCAGCAGCCGC